rnacentral:rRNA from 1 species
UGAGGAACAUGACCUUCGGCGGGGGAUAGCCGGCCCAACGGCCGGGUAAUACCGCGUACGACCUUUUGGGGACAUCCCCGAUUGGUGAAAGCAGCAAUGCGCCGAAAGAGUGCCUCGCGGCCUAUCAGCUAGUUGGUGGGGUAAUGGCUCACCAAGGCGACGACGGGUAGCUGGUCUGAGGGGACGACCAGCCACACUGGAACUGAGAUACGGUCCAGACUCCUACGGGAGGCAGC